UACAGAGGUCCCAAGCGUUGUUCGGAUUCACUGGGCGUAAAGGGUGCGCAGGUGGGUUUGCAAGUUCGAUGUGAAAGCCCCGGGCUUAACCCGGGAAUGGCAUUGGAUACUGCAGAUCUGGAGGAUUGGAGGGGGGACUGGAAUUCUUGGUGUAGCGGUGAAAUGCGUAGAUAUCGGGAGGAAUACCAGUGGCGAAGGCGGCCUUCUGGACGGAUACUGACGCUGAGGCGCGAAAGCCAGGGGAGCAAAC
rnacentral:rRNA from 1 species